AGUGGGAUAGCUGGGUCAAAUGGUGUUUCCAUUCCAAGGUUUCUCCAUACUGUUUUCCAAAGUGGUUGUACCAUUUUGCAAUCCCACCAGCAAU
rnacentral:pre_miRNA from 1 species